rnacentral:rRNA from 1 species
AGUAACACGUGAGCAACCUACCUUUCAGUGGGGGGACGAACAUUUGGAAACGAGUGCUAAUACCGCAUAAGACCACAGUGUCGCAUGGCACAGGGGUCAAAGGAUUUAUCCGCUGAAAGAUGGGCUCGCGUCCGAUUAGCUAGAUGGUGAGGUAACGGCCCACCAUGGCGACGAUCGGUAGCCGGACUGAGAGGUUGAACGGCCACAUUGGGACUGAGACACGGCCCAGACUCCUACGGGAGGCAGCAUG